rnacentral:misc_RNA from 1 species
GAUGAAGAACGCGGCGAAAUGCGAUACGUAAUGUGAAUUGCAGAAUUCAGUGAAUCAUCGAAUCUUUGAACGCAUAUUGCGCUCUCUGGUAUUCCGGAGAGCAUGCUUGUUUGAGUAUCAGUAAACACCUCAACUCCCCUUUCUUUUUUUGAAAUGGGAGCUGGACUUGAGUGAUCCCAACGCUUUUCUCACCGAAAAGUGGCGGGUUACUUGAAAUGCAGGUGCAGCUGGACUUUUCUCUGAGCUAAAAGCAUAUCUAUUUAGUCUGCCUAAAAAACAGAUUAUUACCUUUGCUGCAGCUAACAUAAAGGAGAUUAGUUCUUGUGCUGACUGAUGCAGGAUUCACAGAGACAGCUUCGGCUGGCCUUUGUAAACUCGAUCUCAAAUCAAGUAAGACUACCCGCUGAACUUAAGCAUAUCAAUAAGCGGAGGA